UACGGAGGGUGCAAGCAUUGAUCGGAAUUACUGGGCGUAAAGGGCGCGUAGGCGGCUAUGAAAGUCAGAUGUGAAAUUCCGGGGCUCAACCCCGGAGCUGCAUUUGAAACUUCAAAGCUAGAGUUUGGUUAGGGUAAACGGAAUUCCACGUGUAGCGGUGAAAUGCGUAGAUAUGUGGAAGAACACCGGUGGUGAAGACGGUUUACUGGGCCAGUACUGACGCUGAGGCGCGAAAGCAUGGGGAGCAAACAGG
rnacentral:rRNA from 1 species